ensembl:lncRNA
AAACAGAGAGAGAUGUACAUAAAUUAAUUGAUUACGCUGCUCUGUCCCGGUUUCCUCCCGCCGGCUAUGUCUAGUCUAUGGGAACGAUGGCCUUGCUUCCUGCUCUCUGAUUGGCUGGAAUCGCGGCGGCCUCUCAUGCGCACGAGCUCAGAUGUCAGGCCACUGGGCUUAUAUUUGAGGCGCUGUUGUGCACGAGCUCAGCUGACAGGUUUACGAGGCGCUGUUGUGCACGAGCGUCAUGGGACACUUCUGUCGUUGUGCACGCGCGCCCUCUUCUGGUCGGAGAUUCUGACCCUCUAAAGUGAUUUUUGCCUCUUUCUGAUGCUGUAACAGGUGGUGUUGAGUGUCAGAGUGACCGCAGCGUUCAGACAGUCCAGUGAAUCCUUCAGGACACAUCUAAG